rnacentral:lncRNA from 1 species
UCCUCUAAAUCCUCUUUGAUUUUCUCUCAUUUUUCCUCUCUUCUAUUCUCUUCUGUUUUUUCUCUCUUCUCAUUUUUUCCCUGUUUUCUUUCACUUCCAUCUUCUCAAUUUUUCAGCACUUGGGAUUUUCUUUUUUUCUAUGAUUUUCUAUUUUCUUUUUUCAUUUUUCCCAAUUGUAUUUUUUCCAAUUGUAUUUUUUCUAUUUAUUUACAGUCUAUUUUAAUUUUUUCUAUUAUUUUUUUCUAGUCUUCUAUUUGUUCUAUUUUCUUUUUUCUAAUUUCUUCUAUUUUCUCCAAUUUUCUAUUUUAAUUUUUUCUAGUUUCUUCUAUUUUCCAAUUUUCUUCUCUUUUUUUUCUAUUUUCUUUUUUUCAUUUUUUUUUUUUUUUUUCUCUCUUCUCUCUGCUCCUCCCCUGCCCAACUGCCGCCAUUUUACCAAAAAGUCCUUUUUUUUCCCUCCAGAUGGGGCAACUGCGAAGAAAAACUUUCCUUUCCCUGCCGACUCCAUCUUCACUCUUCAAUUUUCCUGUUCUUCCCUCAAAAUUGGCUCCUCUCAAUCCAUCCUGAGCCUGAAAAUGCCGCAUUUCACCCCAAACCGGCCGCCCCCGCCUGCGCUGCCCGGCCCGGCCCCGCUUGGGGACAAAACUACAUUUUUUAAAGCUUUAGGAGCUUUUGUUUAAAAAUUAAAUUUAGGAGCUUUUUUAGCAGAAAAUAGCGUAUCAAGCGCUUUUUCUUUCUUUAAAUUAAAGCAGCUGAAAAAGCUCUUUUUUUAAAAUUAAAACCGCCCCAGCUCGCUCCGGCUUUUCGAAAAUAUCACAUUACGAUAUUUUAAGAAUUAAAGAGCUGCGAGAGCUGCGUUUCCUCUCAGAAAUCGGCUUUGAAAGCAGCGAUUUCUUAAAAACCAGCAUCAGAAGCUUCGGUUUAAAUAAAACCCAGCUUUAGGAGCUUUUCUAAGGUUUU